rnacentral:rRNA from 1 species
UACGGAGGUGGCAAGCGUUGUUCGGAAUUACUGGGCGUAAAGGGCGCGUAGGCGGCAAGGCAAGUCAGGUGUGAAAGCCCCGGGCUCAACUCGGGAACUGCAUCUGAAACUGCUGUGCUUGAGUCCUGGAGGGGGUAGUGGAAUUCCCAGUGUAGCGGUGAAAUGCGUAGAUAUUGGGGAGGAACACCGGUGGCGAAGGCGGCUACCUGGACAGUGACUGACGGCUGAGGCGGCGAAAAGCGUGGGGAGCAAACAGG